GAUGAACGCUGGCGGCGUGCCUAAUACAUGCAAGUCGAGCGAACGGACGAGAAGCUUGCUUCUCUGAUGUUAGCGGCGGACGGGUGAGUAACACGUGGAUAACCUACCUAUAAGACUGGGAUAACUUCGGGAAACCGGAGCUAAUACCGGAUGAUAUUUCGAACCGCAUGGUUCAAAAGUGAAAGACGGUCUUGCUGUCACUUAUAGAUGGAUCCGCGCUGCAUUAGCUAGUUGGUAAGGUAACGGCUUACCAAGGCAACGAUGCAUAGCCGACCUGAGAGGGUGAUCGGCCACACUGGAACUGAGACAAGGUCCAGAAUCCUACGGGAGGAAGCAGUAGGGAAUCUUCCGCAAUGGGCGAAAGCCUGACGGAGCAACGCCGCGUGAGUGAUGAAGGUCUUCGGAUCGUAAAACUCUGUUAUUAGGGAAGAACAUAUGUGUAAGUAACUGUGCACAUCUUGACGGUACCUAAUCAGAAAGCCACGGCUAACUACGUG
rnacentral:rRNA from 1 species